AGCAGCCGCGGUAAUUCCAGCUCCAAUAGCGUAUAUUAAAGUUGUUGCAGUUAAAAAGCUCGUAGUUGAAUUUCGGGAUCAAUUUAUCGGUCGUGCCAAUGGUAUGAACUGGUACAAUUGGUUUCUCCCUUCUGACGAAGCAUGAUGUCAUUAAUUUGGUGUCGUGGGGAAUCAGGACUGUUACUUUGAAAAAAUUAGAGUGUUUAAAGCAAGCAUUAGCUUGAAUACAUUAGCAUGGAAUAAUGAAAUAGGACGUUUGAUCCUAUUUCGUUGGUUUCUAGGAUCGACGUAAUGAUUAAUAGGGAUAGUUGGGGGCAUUAGUAUUCAAUUGUCAGAGGUGAAAUUCUUGGAUUUAUUGAAGACUAACUACUGCGAAAGCAUUUGCCAAGGAUGUUUUCAUUAAUCAAGAACGAAUGUUAGGGGAUCGAAGACGAUCAGAUACCGUCGUAGUCUUAACCAUAAACUAUGCCGACUAGGGAUCGGAUGAUGUUAAUUUUUUAAUGACUCA
rnacentral:rRNA from 1 species